rnacentral:rRNA from 1 species
GUUGAACGCUGGCGGCAGGCCUAACACAUGCAAGUCGAAUGGUAACAGGAAACAGCUUGCUGUUUCGCUGACGAGUGGCGGACGGGUGAGUAAUGUCUGGGAAACUGCCUGAUGGAGGGGGAUAACUACUGGAAACGGUAGCUAAUACCGCAUAACGUCGCAAGACCAAAGAGGGGGACCUUCGGGCCUCGUGCCAUCAGAUGUGCCCAGAUGGGAUUAGCUAGUAGGUGGGGUAACGGCUCACCUAGGCGACGAUCCCUAGCUGGUCUGAGAGGAUGACCAGCCACACUGGAACUGAGACACGGUCCAGACUCCUACGGGAGGCAGCAGUGGGGAAUAUUGCACAAUGGGCGCAAGCCUGAUGCAGCCAUGCCGCGUGUAUGACGAAGGCCUUCGGGUUGUAAAGUACUUUCAGCGGGGAGGAAGGGAGUAAAGUUAAUACCUUUGCUCAUUGACGUUACCCGCAGAAGAAGCACCGGCUAACUCCGUG